ensembl:snRNA U6 U6 spliceosomal RNA
GUGCUUGCUUCAGCAGCACAUACACUAAAAUUGGAAUGAUACACAGAACAUUAGUGUGGCCCCUAUGCAAGGAUGACACACAAAUUCAUAAAGCAUUCCAUAUUUUU